rfam:Mesocricetus auratus contig100270, whole genome shotgun sequence.
GGGGAGAUUGUUCAGUUGUUGAGAGCGCUGGCUGUUCUUCCAGAGGACCUGGGUUCAAUUCCCAGCACCCCA